rnacentral:rRNA from 1 species
GAUGAACGCUGGCGGCGUGCCUAAUACAUGCAAGUCGAGCGAACAGGCGAGGAGCUUGCUCCUCUGACGUUAGCGGCGGACGGGUGAGUAACACGUGGAUAACCUACCUAUAAGACUGGGAUAACUUCGGGAAACCGGAGCUAAUACCGGAUAAUAUAUUGAACCGCAUGGUUCAAUAGUGAAAGACGGUUUUGCUGUCACUUAUAGAUGGAUCCGCGCCGCAUUAGCUAGUCGGUAAGGUAACGGCUUACCAAGGCAACGAUGCGUAGCCGACCUGAGAGGGUGAUCGGCCACACUGGAACUGAGACACGGUCCAGACUCCUACGGGAGGCAGCAGUAGGGAAUCUUCCGCAAUGGGCGAAAGCCUGACGGAGCAACGCCGCGUGAGUGAUGAAGGUCUUCGGAUCGUAAAACUCUGUUAUUAGGGAAGAACAAAUGUGUAAGUAACUAUGCACGUCUUGACGGUACCUAAUCAGAAAGCCACGGCUAACUACGUG